UAGAAUGAAGUUAUCACUUAUAAUUUCUUUAAUUUUUAUUAUUUAUAUAAGUUACGCUGCAGCCGCUAUAGAAAAUGUUGUAACUAGAAUUUGUUAUUACGCCGAGUGCAAUAAAUUGUGUCUACCCGAUAGAAAAGGAUAUUGUAAGGAUGGAUACUGCAAAUGUCACCGUGUCUGAUAAUUAUUUUAAGAAUGAACAUUGCAA